AUUAACGCUGGCAGAGUGCAUAACCCCCCCACGUCGAGCGAGACUAGUAGCAAUAUUAGUCUAGCGGCAGACGAGUGAGUAACACGUAAACAAUCUACCCUUGAAUGGUGAAUAACCAGCCGAAAGGCCGGCUAAUACACCGUACUCUCCCUUGAAGGCAUCUUCGAGGGAGGAGAGAUCCGCAAGGAUCGUUCUUGGAGGAGUUUGCGGCCCAUCAGCUAGUUGGCGGUGUAAUAGACCACCAAGGCUACGACGGGUACCCGGCCUGAAAGGGCGGACGGGCACGAUGGCACUGAGACACGGGCCAUACUCCUACGGGAGGCAGCAGUGGGGAAUUUUGGACAAUGGGCGAAAGCCUGAUCCAGCAACUCUGCGUGAGGGACGAAGGUCUUCGGAUCGUAAACCUCUUUUACAUGGGAAGAAUACCAGCAAUGGUUCGACGGUACCAUGUGAAUAAGCCACGGCUAACUAUGUG
rnacentral:rRNA from 1 species